CAGGCCUAACACAUGCAAGUCGAGCGGCAGCGGGAAAGUAGCUUGCUACUUUUGCCGGCGAGCGGCGGACGGGUGAGUAAUGCCUGGGGAUCUGCCCAGUCGAGGGGGAUAACAGUUGGAAACGACUGCUAAUACCGCAUACGCCCUACGGGGGAAAGGAGGGGACCUUCGGGCCUUUCGCGAUUGGAUGAACCCAGGUGGGAUUAGCUAGUUGGUGGGGUAAUGGCUCACCAAGGCGACGAUCCCUAGCUGGUCUGAGAGGAUGAUCAACCACACUGGAACUGAAACACGGUCCAAACUCCUACGGGGAAGCAACAAUUGGGGAAUAUUUCACAAUGGGGGGAAACCCUNAUUCAACCAAGCCCGCCGUGUGUUAAAAAAAGGCCUCCGGUU
rnacentral:rRNA from 1 species